rnacentral:rRNA from 1 species
CCCCACCUGAUCCCAUCCCGAACUCAGAAGUGAAACGCAAUCGCGCCGAUGGUAGUGUGGGGUCUCCCCAUGUGAGAGUAGGUCAUUUCCAGGC